rnacentral:rRNA from 1 species
AGGAUCAUUAUUGAAUAAACUUGAACAGGCUGUUGCUGGCCCUCCCUGGGAGGGAUAUGUGCACGCUUGUCAUCUUUAUUUCUCCAACUGUGCACAUAUUGUAGACCUGAUGUUUGAUUUGAUUUAUUUUCGAGUUGGGGACUGCUGUGCUUUCUCAAAGUCGGCUUUCCCUUGCAUUUUUCAGGUCUAUGUCAUUUAUCACAAACCCCUGAGUCUGUUUAGAAUGUUGAAUCAGGUCGUUUUGUACCUAUAAAGUUAAAUAUACAACUUUCAGCAACGGAUCUCUUGGCUCUCGCAUCGAUGAAGAACGCAGCGAAAUGCGAUAAGUAAUGUGAAUUGCAGAAUUCAGUGAAUCAUCGAAUCUUUGAACGCAUCUUGCGCUCCUUGGUAUUCCGAGGAGCAUGCCUGUUUGAGUGUCAUCUAAAUUCUCAAACCACAAUGAUUCUUUCAGUGUGGCUUGGAAGUGGGGGUAGUGUUUUUGCAGGCUUUACUUUUAAAAUGAAGUCUGCUCCCCUGAAAUGCAUUAGUGGUAUCUGAGCAGAAGAAACUACUACAGGUGUGAUAAUUUAUCUAUGCCUUGGUAUGCUGCAUGAACGGAUUGCACUGCUUAUAACAAA